CCGAUCCUUUCCUCGCUGUUCCCUCUUCUUUGAGCUCGCGACGUCGUGCCCUAGCCAACUCACACCGCCGAAUCCCUCUCCCUCUCACGAUUUCCUCUCCUCAUCUUCCUACCGUGCCCUAGACCUAUCGUCGACGCUGAGCCACGUGACCUCGCCGCACGACAACGCCUCUGACGCCGAGCAUCCGCAUGAGAUCCGCCAACAACACAGCAACCAUCGCCAGUAUGGGAGCGAUACUGUUAGCCGGUGAUGUCGCCCCAUCAUUCGAUCACGCCACUUCCUUCCGACACCGAUCGUCGUCCGUACGGCACCCCUCCUUGCCAGAGCAAGCUACGACCACGACCAGUGCCGCAUCGCUUAUCGUCUGGCUCCCGAUUGUGCCGGCGCUGUUCGAUGCUGUUGCCACCCGCCACAAUGAUCCCAGAUCGCCCCGACUCCCCAGCCCCGGUGAAGAUUGUUGAUGGCCAUUGUUAACAACUCAUGAGCCUUCAUCCAGUUGUGAGCCACCUUCUCUGUGGAUUUCUGUGAGUUCCAACUAGAGCUUCAAACGGUAUGAGCAGCGGAGUAUCCUGCUACCGACGAUCAUUGGAGGUAACCACUCAUACCAGUAAAUGAUUUUGGUGUAAAUUUGUGGUUGAUGCUGAUUUUGGAGCAUUGGGCUGGUUGGACAACAACAUUUAACGUUCAUCCGAGGGGAACUUAUGGAUCUGGAUCAAGGGUCAAGCAAAGGAUGCUUGGUUUGGACAUUCGCAACGACAACCUUCUCCGGUUACGAGUUAACAAUGGAAUACACUGAUUUAGGACGUUGAUUCGAGACUAGCAUCUCGGUAUGGGAUUAUUUAGCACGAUCUACAUUUAAGGCGGGUACUUCUUGCUUUAUCUCUUUAGUACAUUGUUCCUAGUGCAUAAGCUAUACCUUCGGAUAGUUCCUGUAUUUAUCUUGACUCUACUCAUAUUUUUUCUGCAUUUGAUACUUCCACUCAAUAUUUGAGCUACUUGUUUCUAUAUCUAUACAGUCUCUCGUUACUAUCUAUGAUAUUUAGCAGAUACCAGACACUAGAUACUAGAUACCAGAUACCAUAUUUACCUGCUUUGACUGCUAUUUAUUCAUAUUUCUUAUUGAGCAUGCUAGAUUCAUGUAGCAUACAUGUUUCUAUAUAUAUAUAAAAUGACUGUUACAUUUUUCACAUCAUGUCAUUGUAUGCAUGUCGACGAUCAUGUUUCCCUUGUGGUUGAGAGGGUCGUUUGCCAAGGCCGCAUGCUCGGCCACUCAUGGGUAGUGGUAGCUGGAGCGUGCCACUUGUCCUGUCGUGCCCCCACUCGCACACUCAUAGGUAGUGAUAACUGGAGUCGCGGACAGCAGGGACCCCCAUCGCAAACGUAGCUAUUCAGCUACUAUACAACUGCCCCCAUGGCCACUCGAGAGUAGUGGUAGCUGAAGUGGUGUACAGUCUGUUAUUGUCCCGACCUCUCGACCAUACAGGGGUCAUGGUACAGGGGGUGGGCGGGAGUGACAUCCAUGCAUACGCUAUUUAUUAUUUAUGCUGCUAUUGCUUAUUUAUGCUACUAUUGCUUACUUAUGCUAAUAUGCUCACAUAGGUUGAGAUACAUACCUGAGGUAUGUGUUUAGACACUGUUUACUUAUUGGUAGUAUACCUCACAUGAUACCCUUGUAGUUAUGAGCAGUAUUGUAGCAGGUCUGAACUAUUCCCGACCUUACUAGCCUAGGAUAUGGUUUCAGGUACGGAUAUAUACUUUGUUUACAUAGUAGUAUCUGCUAUUUAUCUUUCCGAGAUUGUAUCCUGUUGUAUUCCUGGCUCGUUAUUUUACUCAUGCACUGUCUAUCUAUUACCCGCUGAGUCUUUAUACUCACCACCCCGUAAACUGGUUAUU